AACAGCAUGAGUUGAAAGGGGCACCUGGGGAAGGGCAGCCGUGCGCAGACACCACCGCUGACCCUCUCUCUGCCCCCUCCCUCGGCAGAGGGGACCCGCCCUCUCCUCACCACCGCUGAGAUCUCAGCCAGGAGGGGGCGCUGCUGACCACCACCUGGAGGGAGUGGAGGGAGGAAUGGCUUGUGUUCUGAGCAGAAUUCCUGCGUGGAAUCCCUGACAGCCAAUUCCUUCGAAUGUGACUGUAUUCGCAGGCAGGGCCUUUAAGGAGGUGAUUAAGGUAAAAUGAAGCUGUUACGGUGAGCCCUGAUCCAAUCUUCUAAGAAGAGGAAAUUUAAAAACAGUGACAGACCAGGAUUGUGUGCACACAGGGGGCGGCCAUCUGAAGCCAAAGAAAGAGAUUUCAGGGGAAACCAAACCUACCAACACCUUGAUUUUGGACUUCUGGCCUCCAGAACUGCACUCAGGGCAAGCCCAGGUAUCUGUUGCUUGCAGACCUUCCCCCAAGAGUUUCCAUUGACUUCGAAAUGCUUUUCUGAAGGUAUUCUUGGUAUUUAGAGAAGACUGAGUCACCCAUGCUUGUGGACAGGCCGAUCUGCAAAGUGGAGAAGACUGUGCGGCCCACACAGCAGAACCUCUACUAUAGGCUCAGGCUGACACAAGCAGGCCCCGAGGAGAAAUCCAGGCACAAUUCUACAGAUGAAGAUUUCAGACAAUCCUGCAAAGACUCAGUUUUUUCAGGCAAACAAAACUGUGACCGAACCUAGAAACUAGCACCUAAAACACCAUUUCAGAAGAAACGCACAUUCUAAAUUCUCAACUCCCGCUUUUGGAGUGCUCGGGUAAGUUCCAAGAAUUAUGCCUCCUGUAUGGUUACUAUCUUGCCAAGCUCCUUGCACUGAUGUAGAGCAAAAAAUUCUCUUAAAAGUUCUUGAGUGGGAGAUACUUUACAAAGAUCCCUGUCACUCCCCUGAGGGCAAAGCAAGAGGCAUUAGUGAAAAGAGGACAGAAGGUGGAGGCAGUAGGAUAUGAGGACAGGGGAACCUGGAGGGGCUCAGCAAAGUCAUUAGCAUGAUGGACUUAGGUUACAAUUAUAAUAAUAAUAACAGCAGCAGCUCCUCCCCAACUCCCCAUAGAGGGAGUCUAGGUGGAGGUGGAAGUCCCAGAGAUGUACCAUCACAGUCACCACCUGGCCUGAGCUACAGGGAACAGUCACCACCUGGCCUGAGCUACAGGUUUCCCUGCCGUGUUAAAAAGGUGGUGCUUUGGGCAGCCCGGGUGGCUCAGCGGUUUAGUGCCACCUUCAGCCCAGGGCCUGAUCCUGGAGACCGGGGAUCGCGUACCACAUCAGUCAGGCUCCCUGCAUGGAGCCUGCUUCUCCC